CAGCCGCCGCGGUAACACAGAGGGUGCGAGCGUUAAUCGGAUUUACUGGGCGUAAAGCGUGCGUAGGCGGCUUCUUAAGUCGGAUGUGAAAUCCCUGAGCUUAACUUAGGAAUUGCAUUCGAUACUGGGAAGCUAGAGUAUGGGAGAGGAUGGUAGAAUUCCAGGUGUAGCGGUGAAAUGCGUAGAGAUCUGGAGGAAUACCGAUGGCGAAGGCAGCCAUCUGGCCUAAUACUGACGCUGAGGUACGAAAGCAUGGGGAGCAAACAGGAUUAGAUACCCGCGUAGUCCCUGUCUCUUAUAC
rnacentral:rRNA from 1 species